rnacentral:rRNA from 1 species
UGGGGAAUAUUGCACAAUGGGCGCAAGCCUGAUGCAGCCAUGCCGCGUGUAUGAAGAAGGCCUUCGGGUUGUAAAGUACUUUCAGUCGGGAGGAAGGUGGUAAGGUUAAUAACCUUAUCAAUUGACGUUACCGACAGAAGAAGCACCGGCUAACUCCGUGCCAGCAGCCGCGGUAAUACGGAGGGUGCAAGCGUUAAUCGGAAUUACUGGGCGUAAAGCGCACGCAGGCGGUUGAUUGAGUCAGAUGUGAAAUCCCCGGGCUUAACCCGGGAAUUGCAUCUGAUACUGGUCAGCUAGAGUCUUGUAGAGGGGGGUAGAAUUCCAUGUGUAGCGGUGAAAUGCGUAGAGAUGUGGAGGAAUACCGGUGGCGAAGGCGGCCCCCUGGAAAAAGACUGACGCUCAGGUGCGAAAGCGUGGGGAGCAAACAGG